GCCACCGCAGCCACGGCAUCAGCAUCUCCCCGAAGGCUGCAGGUGUCCUGCAUUUCCUCAGUUUCAGAGUUAAGGACCCAAGGGCUCAGCCCGCCCCUGACAAGCUUCCUGGGAGCACAAAGCCCGGGACACCCCACAGCAUCCGCGGGUGUCACGGCCCGGGGCGCGGCUCACGGCCCCGUCCCUGCUCGUCUCCAUCGCCCUCCCACCUGGGAGCCCACACGGUCCCCCCGAGCUCCGCUUCCCGCCUCUCCGCAAGCACAGCGCCGCCACGAGUUCCCAGACUCGAGGCUCCUUCUGGCGUCUAAAUGAACUUUUAAUUACCGACGCGGGUGUUCAGAGAAAAAAAAAAAAAACAAACUGAGCACACUCUUCGUGAGGCGCCCUUCUUCCCCGCCCAGGGUCUCUUUCGUCCAUACGUCCUCGGCUAUCCUUGCUGUCGCUGCGCGUUACACUCGGCACCUCCCCAGCCCGUCGGCGAGGCGAACGGGCCGGAACGGCGUCCGCCGGCCGCUCUGCGCUGCCCCCUGCUCCGGGCGGGCUGCGGCCCCCGGGCUGUCCCUGCUCCGCGGGGCUGGCCCGCGGGCCGCACCCGCGCGCAGGGCACCUCGCGCACGGAGCGCGACCGCGCAGCGGCACGCGGACUCCCCUGCGCGCGCCGGGCCGUUGCCAACGGCUGGAAGCGGCCGUUGGGGGCACGCGGCGGCUCCCAGCCCCCGCCACAGCCCCGCAGCGCGGCUGGGCACCAGCGGGACCGGCACCACGGGGUUCGUUCCUGAAAAACGUUUCUCACAAAUAUUCGUAACGAGCCCUGGGGCUGGGUACUGCACCGGCUCCCUGCCCGUUCUGUUCGAAGCUACGCUGGGCAUCUUCAUGUUGGAAUGAUUUUUUUAGGCUUUGCCGGUUCUGUAGCAAACCUUGCUGGCCUACUGCUGAGCAGAAGAUAGUAUUAAUGACCUAAAGGCAUGAGUUUGUAGAAACCUGUAGGAGAGCUUCUUUGCUGCUGUACCAAGAUGAGAGACAACAAACAAGCCCAAUCUUCCUUGGAUUUCAGUGGCAAAGGAUGAGGUGUAUGGCUCUGUCCUAAGCAAGAGUGAAUAUACAGUACCUAGGAGAAUUCUUCACAAUGACUCCUGUUUCUGCUAGGGUAAGUUAAUAAUAUAAUCUCAAAAAGAUCCUUCUUAGUGGCUAGAAAAACAGAAUAGUCUCUCAUAAAACUUA